rnacentral:lncRNA from 1 species
GUCUUAGCCAAUUCCUACAGCAGGCUAGCUGCAAGGCAUCAUGGGAAGAUAUAGACAAGCCGCUCAAGUCCUAAUAUAGCAAGUGAGUCUCCUAGAAUAGGCAUAGAGCAUGAUCUGGCAGCUUCCCAUCUGCCGCUGAAAAAAGCUAAACGCAACAAAAAACAAAACAAAGGCAGGGGCUAUCUUGGUGCUCAAGGAGAAGAAUCUGGAAGACCUUCCCUCGACAUUCACGAGCAAACAUUGCUUCCAGUAAGUGGCUCACCCCCUGAUCAAGUGACUCAGCUUCUCCGAUUGCAGUCUCAGCGUCAUCCAACGGGGACAGAUAUGGAGGCCUGCUGGGCCCCAGCCCUGCUUGGCUCCCCCGAGAAUGAGUGGCCUGCAGUGGAAAAUUUCCUGUGUGGUGUUGCUGUUGGCUGCCCUGGAGGAGUCAGGGGCCUGGCAUCGACCCACCCCACAAACUCUGUGCAGACUUGAGGCUUGAGGAACGGGCCCACAGAUCGACAGGAAGAGGAAAGUCUGAGUUGAAAGGCACCAAGAAUCACUCCUGGGCUGGCUGGCUGAAGGCUGCAUCUUCAGAAGACACUGGAGCAGGGUGAGAAAACAGACUUCUUUUUUUGAGACAAAGUCUCGCUAUGUAGUUCAGGUUGGCCUUGAACUCAUUAUGUAAUGCUGAGUGACCUCAAACCCAUGGAGAUUCUCCUGCCUCAGCCUCCUGAGGCUGGCAGUACAGGCAUGCACCACCCUAGCCAGCUAAGAUCUUU